GAAAGUACAAAAGGGCGUACGGUGGAUGCCUAGGCUCUUACAGGCGAUGAAGGACGUGAUAAGCUGCGAUAAGCUGUGGGUAGGUGCAAAUGACCUUUGAUCCGCAGAUUUCCGAAUGGGACAACCCGGCAGGUUGAAGACCUGUCAUCCUGCUAAGCAGGAGGCUAACGAGGGGAACUGAAACAUCUUAGUACCCUCAGGAAAAGAAAAUAACAAUGAUUCCCCCAGUAGUGGCGAGCGAACGGGGAAGAGCCCAAACCGUGGAGGUCUCGGCCUUCACGGGGUUGUAGGACCACGACGUUGGACUUGGUUCGAUUAGAGGAACGUUUUGGAAAGAACGACCAUAGAGAGUGACAGUCUCGUACUCGACAAUCGAAUCGGCCAUAGUGGUAUCCUGAGUAGGGCGGGACACGUGAAAUCCUGUCUGAAUCCGGCGGGCCCAUCCGCCAAGGCUAAAUACUCGUAAGAGACCGAUAGCGAACCAGUACCGUGAGGGAAAGGUGAAAAGCACCUCUGUCAGAGGAGUGAAAAAGUUCCUGAAACCGUACGCCUACAAGCGGUCGGAGCAUCUUUAUGAUGUGACGGCGUGCCUUUUGCAUAAUGAACCUACGAGUUGCCGUCGUCGGCAAGGUUAAGCGCAAUGAUGCGCGCAACCGAAGCGAAAGCGAGUCUGAAUAGGGCGCAUAGUCGGCGGUGGCAGACGCGAAACCAAGUGAUCUACCCUUGUCCAGGUUGAAGUCCCGGUAACACGGGAUGGAGGACCGAACCGAUAAGCGUUGAAAAGCUUCCGGAUGAGGUGAGGGUAGGAGUGAAAGGCCAAUCAAACUUGGAGAUAGCUCGUACUCCCCGAAAUGCAUUUAGGUGCAGCCUCGGGCGUUCCCUGUGUGAGGUAGAGCGACUGAUUGGAUGCGAGGGCUUCACCGCCUAUCAAGUCCAGACAAACUCCGAAUGCACACAGGCUAAGCCCGGGAGUGAGGGCGUGGGUGCUAAGGUCCACGCCCGAGAGGAGAAGAAUCCUGAUCACCGGCUAAGGCCCCGAAAUCCGGGCUAAGUUAAACUAACGAAGUGUGGUCCCCGUGACAGCUAGGAUGUUGGCUUGGAAGCAGCCAUUCAUUCAAAGAGUGCGUAACAGCUCACUAGUCGAGGGACUGUGCAUGGAUAAUAAUCGGGUAUGAAGCCCGGUGCCGAAGCCGUGGGAUGUCUUAAUGACAUCGGUAGGGGAGCAUUCAUGCGGCCUUGAAGCCCAAGGGACGACCUUGGGUGGAGCUUCAUGAAAAGCAAAUGUAGGUAUAAGUAACGAUAAAGAGUGUGAGAUGCACUCUCGCCGAAAGACUAAGGUUUCCGGGGCAACGUUAAUCGGCCCCGGGUCAGUCGGGACCUAAGGCUCAUCCUAAUGGAGAGGCCGAUGGCAGAAACGGUUAAUAUUCCGUUACUAUCCCUUGGGGCGAUGUGGAGACGGAGAAGUGACACUUCCGCGGGCUGACGGAAUAGCCCGUUAAAGAUCGUAGGCGCCGACGAGGGCAGGCAAAUCCACCCUCUGAGCUGAAAGUCGACAGUAUGCAGCGUCUUCGGACAAUGCAAUAGUGAAGGUAAGCAUACUCCCGAGAAAAUCCGCUAAGCUUAACCCAUUGGAUACCCGUACCGCAAACGGACACACGUAGUCGGGUAGAAUAUACUAAGGCGCUUGGAAGAUUCAUGGUUAAGGAACUAGGCAAAUUGACCCCGUACGUUCGCAAUAAGGGGUCCUCGUCGCAAGGCGAGGCGCAGAGAAUAGGUCCAGGCAACUGUUUAACAAAAACACAGGGCUGUGCAAACUCGAAAGAUGAAGUAUACAGCCUGACACCUGCCCGGUGCCGGAAGGUUAAGAGGAGAGCUUAGAGGCAACUCGAAGGUUUGAAUUGAAGCCCCGGUAAACGGCGGCCGUAACUAUAACGGUCCUAAGGUAGCGAAAUUCCUUGUCGGGU
rnacentral:rRNA from 1 species